rnacentral:rRNA from 1 species
UACAGAGGGUGCAAGCGUUAAUCGGAUUUACUGGGCGUAAAGCGUGUGUAGGUGGCUUUUUAAGUCGAUUGUGAAAUCCCCGGGCUCAACCUGGGAAUUGCAGUCGAUACUGAGAAGCUCGAGUUCGGUAGAGGGUGACGGAAUUCCCGGUGUAGCGGUGAAAUGCGUAGAUAUCGGGAGGAACAUCGAUGGCGAAGGCAAUCACCUGGGCCUGAACUGACACUGUGACACGAAAGCGUGGGUAGCAAACAGG